CUGCAUCUUUGACAGCCUGGGCUCUCUCUAUUGUGAGGUGUCCUGGGUUUUUAAAUUUCAGAUGCAAUAUUAAAUAUCCCUGCGCUUUCUGCACACCUUUUUUAAUGGUGUCUCGGAUUGAAGAGGGGAUGAUAAAU